GCGGGGCUGGCGGAACUGGCAGACGCGCUGGCCUUAGGAGCCAGUGGCCGCAAGGCCGUGCAGGUUCAAGUCCUGUGCCCCGCACCA
rnacentral:tRNA from 1 species